rnacentral:rRNA from 1 species
UACGAAGGGGGCUAGCGUUGCUCGGAAUCACUGGGCGUAAAGCGCACGUAGGCGGCUUCUUAAGUCAGGGGUGAAAUCCUGGAGCUCAACUCCAGAACUGCCUUUGAUACUGGGAGCUUCGAGUCCGGAAGAGGUGAGUGGAACUGCGAAGUGUAGAGGUGAAAUUCGUAGAUAUUCGCAAGAACACCAGUGGCGAAGGCGG